GACGAACGCUGGCGGCGUGCUUAACACAUGCAAGUCGAGCGGUAAGGCCUUUCGGGGUACACGAGCGGCGAACGGGUGAGUAACACGUGGGUGAUCUGCCCUGCACUUCGGGAUAAGCCUGGGAAACUGGGUCUAAUACCGGAUAUGACCUCCUAUCGCAUGGUGGGUGGUGGAAAGAUUUAUCGGUGCAGGAUGGGCCCGCGGCCUAUCAGCUUGUUGGUGGGGUAAUGGCCUACCAAGGCGACGACGGGUAGCCGACCUGAGAGGGUGACCGGCCACACUGGGACUGAGAAACGGCCCAGACUCCUACGGGAGGCAGCAGUGGGGAAUAUUGCACAAUGGGCGAAAGCCUGAUGCAGCGACGCCGCGUGAGGGAUGACGGCCUUCGGGUUGUAAACCUCUUUCAGCAGGGACGAAGCGCAAGUGACGGUACCUGCAGAAGAAGCACCGGCUAACUACGUG
rnacentral:rRNA from 1 species